UCCAAGCAGCAGCCCGAUAGCCGCAAGUCAGGCCCUGCACGCACUGAGGCGCUGCUGUCCCUCACGGCUUGCCGUCAGCCCCGGAAACCCGGAAGUCCACGCUUUCAGGGAGUACCAACUUCUGAGGAAUUGACUUGAGAGAAAGUGAAAAUCAUCAUCAUGCCGUCGCAGGCCAGGGAGAAUCAUGGGAGCAGCAGGAAGGACCGUGGUGCGGGCUUUGUGUGUCGAAUCUCACACAACAGCAGUUGUGCCUUCAGCCCAGGCCUGAUUAACUCCCUGCCUCAUGCUGAAUGAGAAGGAAAGCUGUCCAGGUUUUCCUGAGGCACUGCAGAGGGAACAACAGAGUUUGCCUUUGAACUCAGUGUCCUGAUUGGCCUCCCGUUUUAGCUGGAAGACUGCCAAUCCCCAGGACAAGAGACCCACUGUCGGCUUCUUGUGCUCCCAGCUGGCAGAGCCAAGGUCGGAGACCCACAGAGGUACAAGCCUGCCAGACCUUCACAGCAAAAGAGUGGCCAGCACUGCCAGGGCCCACUGUGUGGCCCUCCUCUUACUCACCUGUUGUUUUUUUUUCUUUCUGCUUAGUUUGCUAAAA